ACUUAUAUAAUAUAAAUCAAUAUAUUUAAUUUCCAAUUAAACUCUCUAAUUAAUUAGUAUAAGUA
rnacentral:tRNA from 1 species